UACGUAGGGGGCGAGCGUUGUCCGGAUUCAUUGGGCGUAAAGCGCUUUAAGGCGGUUCGCUAAGUCGCGUGUGAAACCUCCAGGCUCAACCUCGAGACGUCGGUUGAAACCGUCUGGCUAGAGUCCGGAAGAGGAGAGUGGAAUUCCCGGUGUAGCGGUGAAAUGCGCAGAUAUCGGGAAGAACACCCGUGGCGAAGGCGGCUCUCUGGGACGGUACUGACGCUGAGACGCGAAAGCGUGGGGAGCGAACAGG
rnacentral:rRNA from 1 species